rnacentral:rRNA from 1 species
GAGUUUGAUCCUGGCUCAGAUUGAACGCUGGCGGCAGGCCUAACACAUGCAAGUCGAACGGUAACAGAAAGCAGCUUGCUGCUUUGCUGACGAGUGGCGGACGGGUGAGUAAUGUCUGGGAAACUGCCUGAUGGAGGGGGAUAACUACUGGAAACGGUAGCUAAUACCGCAUAACGUCGCAAGACCAAAGAGGGGGACCUUCGGGCCUCUUGCCAUCGGAUGUGCCCAGAUGGGAUUAGCUUGUUGGUGGGGUAACGGCUCACCAAGGCGACGAUCUCUAGCUGGUCUGAGAGGAUGACCAGCCACACUGGAACUGAGACACGGUCCAGACUCCUACGGGAGGCAGCAGUGGGGAAUAUUGCACAAUGGGCGCAAGCCUGAUGCAGCCAUGCCGCGUGUAUGAAGAAGGCCUUCGGGUUGUAAAGUACUUUCAGCGGGGAGGAAGGGAGUAAAGUUAAUACCUUUGCUCAUUGACGUUACCCGCAG